GUCUGAAUUGGAAUCUCGAUUUAUAAUCAUUUGUCAGCAGUGUGACUUUUGAGUCCUCCCGCCUCUCUGGUCCUCAGCCUUCAUCUGUAAGAGCAAAAUAGGAAGCAGCUUUAUCAGAGGACAUGGAAUAAUGUCUUUAAAGACCUUAACACAGCCUGGUACAUGAACAAAGGCCCAGCCUACCAUCAGCGUACAACAGGCUAGUGUUCACUGAGCUUCAGCCAAGUAGCCCUUAAUCGUACUUUCACCCUGCCCCAAAAAGCUGGAGAGGUGGGGACUCUUAGGAUUCCAUUUCACACAGGAGCCAAAUCUGUAGACCUUCUGUGAAGAGCAAAGUCACAGCAAUCCUAACUGUCUGCCUCCCCCCUCAACUCCAUGCGGGCCAUCACACCCAGGGGCCUCCCCAGUACUAGUUAUCUGCUGCGGGCACGAGGCCAUUUGCAGAGCUUAGCUCCCGUGAGUGGAGCCUCAGUAAGCGUGGGUGUGCAGGGUGAAGCCUCUCCUGAUGAACUCGAAGUCAACCCCUUGGGGACCUCAGUUGGCAGGUCUUCCCACAUUUGCCACAUGAACCUGAUCUUGGCGGUGGCAACCUAUGAGUUCCGAUGUCCCUGCAGUGCUCCUGGGAUGAGUGUCCCACAGGUGGAAGAAUUCACCUAGGGGAAAGUGUGUUCUUUCUGGAAAAAUCACGCUAGUGGAACUUCACUUCUAGAAUAAAGCCUGGCAGACAGGAAGUGAUAAGUUGAGUUGCUUGGAAAAGCAGUGGGGAAGCUCCGGAUGAUCAGACUCGACACCCCACUGUUGAAAAUCUUGUACCUUUCUACCAACGUGGGGCUAAUCCAGGUCUGGCCACUGAGGUCUCUCCAGCAUUGUUCAGAAGCACAGAAAAACAAAACAAA